GUAUUCUUGAAGGCCUUCAACGAGGAUUGGACGCGGGAACUAAUUAUUUGCAUUAAGUUAAAUAAAACUUCCUCCCCAUACACUAAAGCACGGGACUAAUCAACUCGUCAUCCAUGUAUUCUUGAAGGCCGUCAACGAGGAUUGGACGCGGUUCUGGACGUGUUAUGCUUAUACACCAUCGAUGAUGCCGUUAUCGCGCAGUCAGUUACGUUCAUAGCGGUUCUUUCUUUUGUUUUGAUUAUCCAUCCGUAAU